GUAGGUGAACCUGCGGAAGGAUCAUUACAAAUCCACAAGUCACCCUCACCGGUCGACAACGUUGAACACCCCCUUGGGCGGCGCUUGAGGGGAGGCCCUUGUCGGCGAAAGCCUCGAGGACCCCUCCCCCCAACGUGCUGCCCCUAUUUGACCCCAGGCUGACACACAUUACCACGAUUGUACCAACAAACAAACAACCUAGAAACAACUUAUAACAAUGGAUCUCUAGGCUCUUGCAUCGAUGAAGAAC
rnacentral:misc_RNA from 1 species